rfam:Setaria italica strain Yugu1 chromosome VII, whole genome shotgun sequence.
AUCAUUGAUGAUGGUGAGAUGGCAUCUUACAUCCUUAAUGGUCUUGAUUUCGAGUAUAAUCCAUUUGUGUCCUCAAUGCUUGGCUGCGCCGAUCCCCUCUCUCUUUCCGAUUUGUACUCUCACCUUCUGUCCUAUGAGA